rnacentral:rRNA from 1 species
UUCGGCGGGCCCGCCGCUUGUCGGCCGCCGGGGGGGCGCCUCUGCCCCCCGGGCCCGUGCCCGCCGGAGACCCCAACACGAACACUGUCUGAAAGCGUGCAGUCUGAGUUGAUUGAAUGCAAUCAGUUAAAACUUUCAACAAUGGAUCUCUUGGUUCCGGCAUCGAUGAAGAACGCAGCGAAAUGCGAUAACUAAUGUGAAUUGCAGAAUUCAGUGAAUCAUCGAGUCUUUGAACGCACAUUGCGCCCCCUGGUAUUCCGGGGGGCAUGCCUGUCCGAGCGUCAUUGCUGCCCUCAAGCCCGGCUUGUGUGUUGGGUCGCCGUCCCCCUCUCCGGGGGGACGGGCCCGAAAGGCAGCGGCGGCACCGCGUCCGAUCCUCGAGCGUAUGGGGCUUUGUCACAUGCUCUGUAGGAUUGGCCGGCGCCUGCCGACGUUUUCCAACCAUUCUUCCAGGUGACCUCGAUCAGGUAUGA